GCAAGUCGAGGGGUAACAGGGAUUGCUUGCAAUCCGCUGACGACCGGCGCACGGGUGCGUAACGCGUAUGCAACCUACCUUUUACAGGGGGAUAGUCAAGAGAAAUUUUGAAUAAUACCCCAUACGAUCUUAGAUACACCUGUAUUUAAGAGGAAAACUCCGGUGGUAAAAGAUGGGCAUGCGUCCUAUUAGUUAGUUGGUAAGGUAACGGCUUACCAAGACAUCGAUAGGUAGAGGUCCUGAGAGGGAGAUCCCCCACACUGGUACUGAGGCACGGACCAGACUUCUACGGAAGGCAGCAGUGAGGAAUAUUGGACAAUGGAGGCAACUCUGAUCCAGCCAUGCCGCGUGCAGGAAGACUGCCCUAUGGGUUGUAAACUGCUUUUAUACAGGAAGAACUAUUGGUACGAGUACCAGUUUGACGGUACUGUAAGAAUAAGGAUCGGCUAACUCCGUGCCAGCAGCCGCGGUAAUACGGAGGAUCCAAGCGUUAUCCGGAAUCAUUGGGUUUAAAGGGUCCGUAGGUGGUUUAAUAAGUCAGAGGUGAAAUCCUGCAGCUCAACUGUAGAAUUGCCUUUGAUACUGUUAAACUUGAGUCAUUGUGAAGUAGUUAGAAUGUGUAGUGUAGCGGUGAAAUGCAUAGAUAUUACACAGAAUACCGAUUGCGAAGGCAGACUACUAACAAUGUACUGACACUGAUGGACGAAAGCGUGGGUAGCGAACAGGAUUAGAUACCCUGGUAGUCCACGCCGUAAACGAUGGUCACUAGCUGUUUGAUGCACAUUGGUGUGUUGAGUGGCUAAGCGAAAGUGAUAAGUGACCCACCUGGGGAGUACGCUCGCAAGAGUGAAACUCAAA
rnacentral:rRNA from 1 species